UUGACCCAAGAUCAUAUAUCCUU
rnacentral:miRNA from 1 species